AGGAAUUAGAAGAUUGUUAGCAAUCAGGUGGACUGUUUUUUUAAACUCUGAGUGAAUGUCUGGUGAAAGUGUGAGUGUGAAGGGAGAGGGCCUGCCCUCUCUUAUCCUUUGUGUGGCUCCACGACUUUGGUUACAUAGUCCAAGUGGGCCCCAACCUGCAGUUUUGUGAUUUGUCAUAUGGCAUAACAGUGACUCACCCCCACGUGGAGGUGACCAGGCCCGGGGUUUAUAUGGGUGCACCUUAGCUAAGACAAAUCUAAGCUCCCAAAGGACAUGGCCAGGCAGGCACCUGAGUGAGGAUCUGUG